UGCCGUUCUUUAAUCAUGGGCUGGUUUGGUAUCAUUCCUUGUUGUCUAGUUCCGUUUUGUUGAACCAUUGUCUCAGACCACGGAUACAUAUAUGCUGACAGGUAUAUAAGAUUUGGCGCAUAUACGUGCCUAAUUGUCUGGAUAGCUACUGCAUUCCUUUGGGUCAUCCUAAUGAUUUGCUCUUCUUAUUCUUUUCUACC
rnacentral:lncRNA from 1 species